GAUGAACGCUGGCGGCGUGCCUAAUACAUGCAAGUCGAGCGAACAGACGAGGAUCUUGCUCCUCUGACGUUAGCGGCGGACGGGUGAGUAACACGUGUAUAACCUACCUAUAAGACUGGGAUAACUUCGGGAAACCGGAUCUAAUACCGGAUAAUAUAUUGAACCGCGUGGUUCAAUAGUGAAAGACGGUUUUGCUGUCACUUAUAGAUGGAUCCGCGCCGCAUUAGCUAGUUGGUAAGGUAAAGGCUUACCAAGGCAACGAUGCGUAGCCGACCUGGGAGGGUGAUCGGCCACACUGGAACUGAGACACGGUCCAGACUCCUACGGGAGGCAGCAGUAGGGAAUCUUCCGCAAUGGGCGAAAGCCUGACGGAGCAACGCCGCGUGAGUGAUGAAGGUCUUCGGAUCGUAAAACUCUGUUAUUAGGGAAGAACAAAUGUGUAAGUAACUAUGCACGUCUUGACGGUACCUAAUCAGAAAGCCACGGCUAACUACGUG
rnacentral:rRNA from 1 species